AAGUCCCGUAACGAGCGCAACCUUGUCCUUAGUUACCAGCACGUUAUGGUGGGCACUCUAAGGAGACUGCCGGUGACAAACCGGAGGAAGGUGGGGAUGACGUCAAGUCAUCAUGGCCCUUACGGCCUGGGCUACACACGUGCUACAAUGGUCGGUACAAAGGGUUGCCAAGCCGCGAGGUGGAGCUAAUCCCAUAAAACCGAUCGUAGUCCGGAUCGCAGUCUGCAACUCGACUGCGUGAAGUCGGAAUCGCUAGUAAUCGUGAAAUCAGAAUGUCACGGUGAAUACGUUCCCGGGCCUU
rnacentral:rRNA from 1 species